GCCCGCAUGGUCUAGUGGUUACGACGUUCGCCUCACACUCCAAACAGUGGACGCGACAGGUCCCAGGUUCGAUACCUGGUGUGGGCA